rnacentral:rRNA from 1 species
CCUACGAGGGGCAGCAGUGAGGAAUAUUGGUCAAUGGGCGCGAGCCUGCACCAGCCAAGUAGCGUGAAGGAUGACUGCCCUACGGGUUGUAAACUUCUUUUAUAAAGGAAUAAAGUGAGGCACGUGUGCCUUUUUGUAUGUACCAUAUGAAUAAGCAUCGGCUAACUCCGUGCCAGCCGCCGCGGUAAUACGGAGGAUUCGAGCGUUAUCCGGAUUUAUUGGGUUUAAAGGGUGCGUAGGUGGUUAAUUAAGGCAGCGGUGAAAGUUUGUGGCUCAACCAUAAAAGUGCCGUUGAAACUGGUUGACUUGAGUAUAUUUGAGGUAGGCGGAAUGCGUGGUGUAGCGGUGAAAUGCAUAGAUAUCACGCAGAACUCCGAUUGCGAAGGCAGCUUACUAAACUAUAACUGACACUGAAGCACGAAAGCGUGGGGAUCAAACAGGAUUAGAUACCCUAGUAGUC